rnacentral:rRNA from 1 species
GAGGAGGACAGGUGGUGCGAUGGUUGUCGUCAGCUCGUGUCGUGAGAUGUUGGGUUAAGUCCCGGCAACGAGCGCAACCCUUACGUUUAGUUGCUUAACGGGAGAGCUGAGCACUCUAGACGAACUGCCGUUGACAAAACGGAGGAAGGUGGGGAUGACGUCAAAUCAUCAUGCCCCUUAUACUCUGGGCUACACACGUGCUACAAUGGUCCGUACAGAGGGCAGCGAGCCGGUGACGGCAAGCGAAUCCCUUAAAGCGGAUCUCAGUUCGGAUUGCAGGCUGCAACCCGCCUGCAUGAAGUCGGAAUCGCUAGUAAUCGCAGGUCAGCAUACUGCGGUGAAUACGUUCCCGGGCCUU